AGCCCAGAGCCUGAAUCAGUGUGUGUGUUAGUGGAAGCGUCUGGAAAGGCGCGCGAUACAGGGUGACAGCCCCGUACACAAAAAUGCACAUACUGUGAGCUCGAUGAGUAGGGCGGGACACGUGGUAUCCUGUCUGAAUAUGGGGGGACCAUCCUCCAAGGCUAAAUACUCCUGACUGACCGAUAGUGAACCAGUACCGUGAGGGAAAGGCGAAAAGAACCCCGGCGAGGGGAGUGAAAAAGAACCUGAAACCGUGUACGUACAAGCAGUGGGAGCACGCUUAGGCGUGUGACUGCGUACCUUUUGUAUAAUGGGUCAGCGACUUAUAUUCUGUAGCAAGGUUAACCGAAUAGGGGAGCCGAAGGGAAACCGAGUCUUAACUGGGCGUUAAGUUGCAGGGUAUAGACCCGAAACCCGGUGAUCUAGCCAUGGGCAGGUUGAAGGUUGGGUAACACUAACUGGAGGACCGAACCGACUAAUGUUGAAAAAUUAGCGGAUGACUUGUGGCUGGGGGUGAAAGGCCAAUCAAAC
rnacentral:rRNA from 1 species